UGUUAAAAUAAAUUGAUUAGCCAAAGAUCUC
rnacentral:piRNA from 1 species